rnacentral:rRNA from 1 species
GGAUGCGAUCAUACCAGCACUAAUGCACCGGAUUCCAUCAGAACUCCGCAGUUAAGCGUGCUUGGGCGAGAGUAGUACUAGGAUGGGUGACCCCUGGGAAGUCCUCGUGUUGCAACCC